CUCUCUCCCGCCUGGGUACUUAUCCAUGGGUCCUCGCCUCCUUUUCAUACGUGCUUGUUUCACGAAGUUGAUCCGGGUUGACCUAUUGGGAGUUUGAGACAGGCAGCUGCCGUGGUUUAAUCUGUUCGGGACACACAUGCCUGACUUGAGGCUCGUGCAUGCCAUAGAACAGAUUGGCAUAUAGCGUCUGUACUUUUGCUAUCACCCGUCUUUUUUGGGUUCACAUACAACCCAUUAACAGUCGCGUAAGGAGCGUACGCCCUCUCGCGAUGUCAACGUGGGCACAAGGGACUGGGCUGAUUUUCUCGUUUUGUUUUAUGAUUUUUCCUGCUCGUUUUGUCGUCGCAAAAAAACCCUAGCCCAUUCCCGUCCGCAUCCCUGCUGCCGCCGCCGCCGCCCUUCCAAUUCCCUCUGCUCCUGCUGCUUCCCUCCACCUCUCCCUCAUCCACGCCGUCAGGGGCGCCCCUCAAGCCCCACCUCGUCGGUUCCCCACCUGGGCUCCUUCUCCCCCACCCCGGGCGAGCACCGGACAGGCAGAGGGAGUGCCUUGGUCGAGGGACAACGAGGCUCGCCGGCUGGGCGACUUCGAGCGCUGGAGGCUAGACAGGCAGAGGCAGGGGCGGAUCCAUGUGGGGGCAUGGGUGCCGUCGCGCCAUCAAAGGCCUCCACGGCGCCCUCUACCAGGUCACCUCUCUCCAAGAUCUCCUUUUUACCCAUGUUUUUACCACUCUCCAAGCUCGCACUAUUGCUCCGGAAAAUUCCCUUUGGAAUUGGGGAUGAGGCAAAUCGAUUUCGAUUGAUUGGCGCCACGCAGACGACGGGCGUGGGACGGUGCAGGAGGCGUGCCGCGUUUGAGAGCCACUGUGGAUUAUCUUCGAGGUGUCAGGCGACAUUCGCCUCGAGACCUACCUCCGGGUCUCUUCCCACAUGACCAUUGACGGGCGCGGGUAGCGGGUCAGGCUCACCGACAAGGCGCCGCUUGCCUCUGAACUUGUGAUGUCCGGCCAUUGCAUCUGGGAGGAGCUCCUCUUCAGGAAGAAUGCCGAGACGUACGACACUGCUGCGACUGUCGUUCUCGUCCGCGUUUUGACUACACUUCCAGGCAACUGCGAAGGCAAAAUCUACAUGUGAGAAGUGCAGAUGAGCCCCGCUGUGCUAAUUACCCGUAUUCUGAAUUGGCUGCUGAAGUACAUAAGUGAAGUCUAUUGGUGAAGGAGAUGUGAAGAAUGAUAUAGAGCAAGUAGAUAAAAACCGCAGUUGUUGGCCCAAGUUUUACAUGAGUAUUCCUACAUAUAGGAUAAUACCCUUCUGGUGCUAAUCAAGGAUUUGAUAUUCCGUUAGCUUUGGUUAACCUGCCUGAGUUAGUGCCUACACGAGGAGCUGAACAAAAAUGCAAUGGGGGGAGCCCAUCUUAGAAUUGUUUUCCCUUUUCUCGCAAUAGCUUUCAUUUUGCAGUAUAUUAGCUAAUUCUGCGCAGGAUGAUUACAUAUGCAACAUUUGUAAAGGAGUAGACUUGUUAAAAGUUUCAACUAAUAUUAUAUGAUGCCUGCUGGAUUAUUUUCUUGUCAAACUGAAAUUUAAAUGUCCCAAUACUAUGUUCUAUUCCAAUUUCAAACUAAUUUCCUUGUUGUGGGUUGCAUACACGAACUGUAAUGCAUUUCAUUUGUGUUAAAUAAUACGAGUACGAAUAAACACUUGCUAAUGGAGCAAACCAGCCAAGUGAAUGCUUCUUGUUAUAACCAGUUCAUCCAAUGGAGCGUGCAUACCGGUUACAUGCAUAUCCAUGUUCCAUACACAAUGCAAAGCAAGACUGCAAACACACUAACAAAUCCGACAGAAAGAUAAGUGCGCUCAAUCACGCAGAGGAGGCGCGCCCAGGGCACGCCCCAACCACUAGUUAUCCAUUGUUGAUGUGUGCUUUAGGGUGUGAUCCGGGUUGCCUCCAGCCGGCAACACUUCCAAGUAUCGGCACCACUUGUUGAUCAAAGACGCUGGCCAUCCUCUGAAUACUGACUUAGAUUACGUGCAACAUCUUGGUGGAGACACCCCUUUGAAAAGAGAUGCUAACCUGGCCUUACAAGAUUUACAUUAUCGCCCAAAUCAAGUCAGGGCUUUUCUGGAAUUCUUGAUUUUAGGGGCGGCACCUACAAGCCGUACCUGACGUGAAAUCAACAUGAGCUCCAAAAUACGAGCCGAACGAAAUAGCAGCGAGAAGCUAGGAUCGACCGCAGUGCAAAACCGUGAAGCAGACUCGGCCCAGCUCCAUCGAUCCGGAAAGCUGAAGUUGGCAGAUAUUACAAGUGAACUGCCACCGCCAAGUCAUACGAGCCGAACCGGUACGCUCGAUCUGUUUGAUCGCUCCUUAUUCCUUCGCUCGUGCUCCCUCGCUGCUCCUCUACAAGGCCGAUUUGGGCUGCCUCCAGUCGGCCCAACUAGCCCGAACAGGCCACAGCCCUCCAGCUGGGCUGUAGUGCCGCGAGAAGCUGCAAACCGAGGCGAACAGAUUUUUCAUCGCUGCAUGGAGUGAGAAGCUACUCUGAGAAGCUGAAUUUGUGAAGUUUUGGGAAGCUAGAGGAGAUCAGAACAGGCCCAUAGUGUGCUCUUUCUGCAGAACAUUCUAUUGUAUACGUGUCGGGAAAAUGCUUCUUGCACAACAAGGGAAAUAAAUAUUCCCCACAAAAAAACAAGGAAAUAAAUUUGACAAUGACCGCAUGUAAUUUUAUUUUUAUGAUAACAUGUUUAGGCCACCAGGAUUUCAUCAAUCACUAAAUUAUGGU